AUGUGUGUAUGUGUAUAUAUGUAUAUAUACACACACACACACAUAUGUAUACGUGUAUAUAUGUAUAUAUAUGUAUAUGUAU